rnacentral:piRNA from 1 species
UAAAAGCAGGAAUAUAAAAAUAAGUGCUGG